rnacentral:rRNA from 1 species
GCUGGCGGCGUGCUUACACAUGCAGUCGAACGCUGAAGCUCCAGCUUGCUGGGGUGGAUGAGUGGCGAACGGGUGAGUAAUACGUGAGUAACCUAGGCCUUGACUCUGGGAUAAGCCUGGGAAACCGGGUCUAAUACUGGAUACGACUCCUCAUCGCAUGGUGGGGUGUGGAAAGGGUUUUACUGGUUUUGGAUGGGCUCACGGCCUAUCAGCUUGUUGGAGGGGUAAUGGCCUACCAAGGCGACGACGGGUAGCCGGCCUGAAAGGGUGACCGGCCAGCUGGGGACUGAACACGGCCCAGACUCCUACGGGAGGCAGCAGUGGGGAAUAUUGCACAAUGGGGCGCAAGCCUGAUGCACGACGCCGCGUGAGCCACGACGGCCUUCGGGUUGUAAACCUCUUU